rnacentral:tRNA from 5 species
GCCCAGGUGGUGGAAUUGGCAGACACGCAGCGUUCAGGGCGCUGUGGGAGCAAUCUCGUGGGAGUUCAAAUCUCCCCCUGGGCA